rnacentral:rRNA from 1 species
AGAGUUUGAUCCUGGCUCAGAUUGAACGCUGGCGGCAUGCCUUACACAUGCAAGUCGAACGGCAGCGGGGACUUCGGUCCGCCGGCGAGUGGCGAACGGGUGAGUAAUAUAUCGGAACGUACCUUUCAGUGGGGGAUAACGUAGCGAAAGUUACGCUAAUACCGCAUAUUCUGUGAGCAGGAAAGCAGGGGAUCGCAAGACCUUGCGCUGAUUGAGCGGCCGAUAUCAGAUUAGCUAGUUGGUGAGGUAAAGGCUCACCAAGGCGACGAUCUGUAGCGGGUCUGAGAGGAUGAUCCGCCACACUGGAACUGAGACACGGUCCAGACUCCUACGGGAGGCAGCAGUGGGGAAUUUUGGACAAUGGGGGCAACCCUGAUCCAGCCAUGCCGCGUGAGUGAAGAAGGCCUUCGGGUUGUAAAGCUCUUUCGGCCGGGAAGAAAUCGCAUAGGUUAAUACCCUGUGUGGAUGACGGUACCGGAAUAAGAAGCACCGGCUAACUACGUGCCAGCAGCCGCGGUAAUACGUAGGGUGCAAGCGUUAAUCGGAAUUACUGGGCGUAAAGCGUGCGCAGGCGGUUAUAUAAGACAGAUGUGAAAUCCCCGGGCUCAACCUGGGAACUGCAUUUGUGACUGUAUAGCUAGAGUACGGCAGAGGGGGAUGGAAUUCCGCGUGUAGCGGUGAAAUGCGUAGA